UGCCCUGAGGCGAUCCUCGAUCAGUGUUGGCUUCAUCGGAGCCAGCACUGAUCGAGGAUCGCCUCAGGGC
rnacentral:pre_miRNA from 16 species